UACGUAGGGUGCGAGCGUUGUCCGGAAUUACUGGGCGUAAAGAGCUCGUAGGUGGUUUGUCGCGUUGUUCGUGAAAACUCACAGCUCAACUGUGGGCGUGCGGGCGAUACGGGCAGACUAGAGUACUGCAGGGGAGACUGGAAUUCCUGGUGUAGCGGUGGAAUGCGCAGAUAUCAGGAGGAACACCGGUGGCGAAGGCGGGUCUCUGGGCAGUAACUGACGCUGAGGAGCGAAAGCCAGGGGAGCAAACGGG
rnacentral:rRNA from 1 species